rnacentral:lncRNA from 1 species
UCUCAACCGGUUUUAAAGUAAUAAAUAAAUCGUCAGUUUGUAUAGUUCGAGAAAUUUAUAUUGUGAAACAGCUUUAAGGUCGGCAAAAUUUGGUAUUCUUUGUCAAAGAUGUUUUAAGAGGCGGUUCGUUUGAUGACAUCUGUUUUUCACACCCACAUAAUCGGUCCCCUCAGACAUUUACAAGUUUUACAAAACUUUUAGUUCAGUAGUAUGUCUUACUGGAGUAUAGGUGUGUGAUUUAAAGCUCGAUAAUGGAGUGUAAAAUGUUGUUUAAUUUAAGAUUAAUUAAUUAAUUAAUAAUUAAUUUUAGCACAUACGAUAUGUCCUGCUUUAACGGUAUAUCUAAGUAAAAAUAAAUAUUUUUAAUUACAUAUUUAAUCACCAGAAAAAACAACCAGCCUCCGAACUAUAUUAAAGGG